AUUUAUUAUAGCCAUGUUUGCGCAGUGGUGAACCUAUAGGCCUUCAGUGUGUGACAGGUUAGUACAGUGGUGAACCUAUAGGUCUUCAGUGUGUGACAGGUUAGUACAGUGGUGAACCUAUAGGUCUUCAGUGUGUGACAGGUUAGUACAGUGGUGAACCUAUAGGUCUUCAGUGUGUGACAGGUUAGUACAGUGGUGAACCUAUAGGUCUUCAGUGUGUGACAGGUUAGUACAGUGGUGAACCUAUAGGCCUUCAGUGUGUGACAGGUUAGUACAGUGGUGAACCUAUAGGCCUUCAGUGUGUGACAGGUUAGUACAGUGGUGAACCUAUAGGUCUUCAGUGUGUGACAGGUUAGUACAGUGGUGAACCUAUAGGCCUUCAGUGUGUGACAGGUUAGUACAGUGGUGAACCUAUAGGCCUUCAGUGUGUGACAGUGGUGAACCUAUAGGCCUUCAGUGUGUGACAGUGGUGAAC
ensembl:lncRNA